rnacentral:rRNA from 1 species
AUACGUAGGUGACAAGCGUUAUCCGGAUUUACUGGGCGUAAAGGGCGUGUAGGCGGUCUUGCAAGUCAGAAGUGAAAUUCCUGAGCUCAACUCGGGCGCUGCUUCUGAAACUGCAGGACUUGAGUGCUGGAGGGGAUAGCGGAAUUCCUAGUGGAGCGGUAAAAUGCGCAGAUAUUAGGAAGAACACCGGUGGCGAAGGCGGCUAUCUGGCCAGUAACUGACGCUGAGGCGCUAAAGCGUGGGGAGCAAACGGGAUUAGAUCCCCCGAUAGUCCUGGCCGUAAACGAUGGGUUCUAGGUGUGGGAGUUAUCGACUCCUUCCGUGCCGGAGUUAACGCAAUAAGUACCCCGCCUGGGGAGUACGGCCGCAAGGCUUAAACUUAAAGGAAUUGACGGGG